UGAGUCCGGGUGGUUGUCGACCUUGUGUUGUUUUCUCGUGUUUCGUCCGAAAUUCACGUUUUCUUCCGAUCGAAUCAUAUCCACGUGUCAGUGUCACGACAUGCAAGCAGUCAAAAGCCAAGAUAUGUGAGGAACCAAGACGUAUGCCGAGACGCGGCCACGAUACAUCAAAUAUCUACAGCUACACUGCUGAACUAGUGCAACUGUUGACGUUUGGCACGCACUUGCGGUGCAUGUUGGCAAUUGCGCGGUUAUCUUCGAGAUCGAUCUUUUCGAGUCGAGCAACUGUAAUGGACACAUCGAUCGGCAUCGCUCCGCGUUUUACGCGCCUUUUGUCUGUCGAAAGUGAGUCUCGUGCGCGGGAAUAAAUAUCGAGAGUGCCGAAAAUAGUGACUUGCGACAUAUGAUGCUUGAUAUGUCAUGUGACCGAGAAGAGAAUGGAUCUCCUGAGAAUGGGAUCUGGAGACGAGAUCGCGGAUCGCUUCAUAUUACACCAUAAACGAAGAAGAUACGUUACCUGGAUCAGAAUGAGAUUCUUCCAACGGUGGUGGUAAGUACUUGUCCAACAUAAUUUCGGCAAGAUCUGUGGUGUUGUCCACA